UCGAUGAAUCAUUUCUUUAGACAGAAGAAGAUUAUGUAAACACUUACUCGAAAUCUCAAAAACCCGUCCUCAGUUCAGAUUGCAGGUUGCAACUCGCCUGCAUGAAGCCGGAAUCGCUAGUAAUCGUCGGUCAGCCAUACGGCGGUGAA
rfam:Beta vulgaris subsp. vulgaris Bvchr1.sca006.con0249.1, whole genome shotgun sequence.